rnacentral:rRNA from 1 species
CCUACGGGAGGCAGCCGUGAGGAAUAUUGGUCAAUGGACGAGAGUCUGAACCAGCCAAGUAGCGUGAAGGAUGACUGCCCUAUGGGUUGUAAACUUCUUUUAUAAAGGAAUAAAACGAGGCACGUGUGCCUUUUUGCAUGUACUUUAUGAAUAAGGAUCGGCUAACUCCGUGCCAGCAGCCGCGGUAAUACGGAGGAUACGAGCGUUAUCCGGAUUUCUUGGGUUUAAGGGGAGCGUAGAUGGGUUGUUAAGUCAGUUGUGAAAGUUUGCGGCUCAACCGUAAAAUUGCAAUUGAUACUGGCAGUCUUGAGUACAGUUGAGGUAGGCGGAAUUCGUGGUGUAGCGGUGAAAUGCUUAGAUAUCACGAAGAACCCCGAUUGCGAAGGCAGCUUACUAAACUGUGACUGACAUUGAUGCUCGAAAGUGUGGGUAUCAAACAGGAUUAGAUACCCUGGUAGUC